rnacentral:rRNA from 1 species
AGAGUUUGAUCAUGGCUACAGAACGAACGCUGGCGGCAUGCCUAACACAUGCAAGUCGAACGAAGCCUUCGGGCUUAGUGGCGCACGGGUGCGUAACGCGUGGGAAUCUGCCCUUGGGUUCGGAAUAACAGUUAGAAAUGACUGCUAAUACCGGAUAAUGUCUUCGGACCAAAGAUUUAUCGCCCAGGGAUGAGCCCGCGUAGGAUUAGCUAGUUGGUGAGGUAAAGGCUCACCAAGGCGACGAUCCUUAGCUGGUCUGAGAGGAUGAUCAGCCACACCGGGACUGAGACACGGCCCAGACUCCUACGGGAGGCAGCAGUGGGGAAUAUUGGACAAUGGGCGAAAGCCUGAUCCAGCAAUGCCGCGUGAGUGAUGAAGGCCUUAGGGUUGUAAAGCUCUUUUACCCGGGAUGAUAAUGACAGUACCGGGAGAAUAAGCCCCGGCUAACUCCGUG